AUGUGACACGCAUACAUUCCGGUUCCCGCGCGCCGGCCACACCUGCCCGAGGGCCGCCCGUUACGUUUUGUUGGCC
rnacentral:sRNA from 5 species